rnacentral:rRNA from 1 species
UACGUAGGGUGCAAGCGUUGUCCGGAAUUAUUGGGCGUAAAGGGCUCGUAGGCGGUCCAUCGCGUCGGGAGUGAAAAGCUGGGGCUCAACCCCAGUCCUGCUUCCGAUACGGGCAGACUAGAGGUAUGCAGGGGAGAAUGGAAUUCCUGGUGUAGCGGUGAAAUGCGCAGAUAUCAGGAGGAACACCGGUGGCGAAGGCGGUUCUCUGGGCAUUACCUGACGCUGAGGAGCGAAAGUGUGGGGAGCGAACAGG